GGACCAGACUCCUACGGGAGGCAGCAGUGGGGAAUAUUGCACAAUGGGCGCAAGCCUGAUGCAGCCAUGCCGCGUGUAUGCAGAAGGCCUUCGGGUUGUAAAGUACUUUCAGCGGGGAGGAAGGCGAUAAGGUUAAUAACCUUGUUGAUUGACGUUACCCGCAGAAGACGCACCGUCUAACUCCGUGCCAGCAGCCCCGGUAAUCCGGAGGGUGCAAGCGUUAAUCGGAAUUACUGGGCGUAAAGCGCACGCAGGCGGUCUGUCAAGUCGGAUGUGAAAUCCCCGGGCUCAACCUGGGAACUGCAUUCGAAACUGGCAGGCUGGAGUCUUGUAGAGGGGGGUAGAAUUCCAGGUGUAGCGGUGAAAUGCGUAGAGAUCUGGAGGAAUACCGGUGGCGAAGGCGGCCCCCUGGACAAAGACUGACGCACAGGUGCGAAAGCGUGGGGAGCAGACAGGAUUAGAUACCCGAGUA
rnacentral:rRNA from 1 species